rnacentral:snRNA from 1 species
CAGCUGCGCGAUGAGCACAUAACGAACUAUUCUUUCGCCUUUUACUAAAGAAUACCGUGUGCUCGGCGUAAUACAAACAACAUAUGCCUCUUUUUGCCGGGUUAAUUUUCUUUUAGGAA